rnacentral:rRNA from 1 species
CAGCCGCCGCGGGAAUACGAAGGGGGCUAGCGUUGUUCGGAUUAACUGGGCGUAAAGGGCGCGUAGGCGGGUUUUUAAGUCAGAGGUGAAAUCCCAAGGCUCAACCUUGGAACUGCCUUUGAUACUGGAAGUCUUGAGUCCGGGAGAGGUGAGUGGAACUGCGAGUGUAGAGGUGAAAUUCGUAGAUAUUCGCAAGAACACCAGUGGCGAAGGCGGCUCACUGGCCCGGUACUGACGCUGAGGCGCGAAAGCGUGGGGAGCAAACAGGAUUAGAUACCCGGGUAGUCCCUGUCUCUUAUAC